rnacentral:lncRNA from 1 species
UUGAGUGGUGAUUUUAUGCAAUGGCUUCAAGCCACAGAUCUUCUCCAGUGCCUCAAGGAAGCAGCAGUGACGUUUUCUUUAAAAAAGAGGUAGAUCCAGCAAAACACAUUCGACCUGUGCAGUCACUGCCAGAUGUGUGUCCUAAGGAACCCACAGGUGAUUCAAAUAGUUUAUGUGUUGCCCCAUCUCUAGUUACAGAUCAACAUAGAUGGACUGUAUAUCAUUCCAAAGUAAACCUCCCAGCAGCAUUAAAUGAUCCUACAUUAGCAAAAAGAGAAUCUGACUUCUUCACAAAAACAUGGGGAUUGGACUUUGUGGACACUGAAGUCAUACCUUCAUUCUACCUCCCACAGAUCAGCAAGGAACAUUUUAUAGCAUAUCAACAGGAAAUCUCUCAGAGAGAGAAGAUCCAUGAGAGAUGCAAGAAUAUUUGUCCUCCUAAAGAUACCUUUGACAGGACUCUUUUACAUAUUCAUGAUAAAUCCAGGACAGAUCUGGAACAAGUACCUAAGAUUUUUAUGAAACCAGAUUUUGCCUUGGACGAUUCCUUAACUUUUAAUUCAGUUUUACCAUGGUCUCAUUUUAAUACUGCUGGUGGGAAAGGAAAUCGUGAUGCAGCUUCUUCCAAGUUGCUUCAAGAAAAGGUAAUUUAA